rnacentral:misc_RNA from 1 species
UAUGAAGAACGCAGCGAAAUGCGAUAAGUAGUGUGAAUUGCAGAAUUCAGUGAAUCAUCGAAUCUUUGAACGCACAUUGCGCCCUUUGGUAUUCCAAAGGGCAUGCCUGUUCGAGCGUCAUUUGUACCCUCAAGCUUUGCUUGGUGUUGGGCGUCUUGUCUCUAGCUUUGCUGGAGACUCGCCUUAAAGUAAUUGGCAGCCGGCCUACUGGUUUCGGAGCGCAGCACAAGUCGCACUCUCUAUCAGCAAAGGUCUAGCAUCCAUUAAGCCUUUUUUUCAACUUUUGACCUCGGAUCAGGUAGGGAUACCCGCUGAACUUAAGCAUAUCAAUAAGCGGAGGA